GACGAACGCUGGCGGCGUGCUUAACACAUGCAAGUCGAACGGAAAGGCCCUGCUUUUGUGGGGUGCUCGAGGGGCGAACGGGUGAUUAACCCGUGAGUAACCUGCCCCUGACUUAGGGUUAACUUCAGGAAACUGGGGCUAAUACCGGAUAGGAUCUACUGCUGCAUGGUGGGGGUUGGAAAGAUUCGGCGGUUGGGGAUGGACUGGCGGCGUAUCAGCUUGAUGGUUGGGUAGUGGCUUACCAAGGCAUUGCAGGGUAGCCGGCCUGAGAGGGGGGCCGGCCAAAUUGGGCCUGAGAUACGGCCCAGACUCGAACCGGACGCAGCGGUGGAGAGUAUUACACUAUAGGCGGGAGGCAGAUGCGACAACGCCGCGUGCGGGAAGACGGGCUUCGGGUUGGGAACCGCUGUCGCCUGAGACGAGGCGUGAGUGACGGUAAUGGGUAAAGAAGCACCGGCUAACUACGUG
rnacentral:rRNA from 1 species